rnacentral:rRNA from 1 species
UACGUAGGGUGCAAGCGUUACUCGGAAUUACUGGGCGUAAAGCGUGCGCAGGCGGCUAUUUAAGACAGAUGUGAAAUCCCCGGGCUCAACCUGGGACCUGCAUUUGUGACUGCAUCGCUGGAGUGCGGCAGAGGGGGAUGGAAUUCCGCGUGUAGCAGUGAAAUGCGUAGAUAUGCGGAGGAACACCGAUGGCGAAGGCAAUCCCCUGGGCCUGCACUGACGCUCAUGCACGAAAGCGUGGGGAGCAAACAGG